rnacentral:rRNA from 1 species
AGAGUUUGAUCCUGGCUCAGGAUGAACGCUAGCGAUAGGCUUAACACAUGCAAGUCGAGGGGCAGCAUGGUCUUAGCUUGCUAAGACUGAUGGCGACCGGCGCACGGGUGCGUAACGCGUAUGCAACUUGCCUCACAGAGGGGGAUAACCCGUCGAAAGACGGACUAAUACCGCGUACACUCCAUCUUGGGCAUCCAAGGCGGAGGAAAUGAAAUUCGCUGUGAGAUAGGCAUGCGUCCCAUUAGCUAGUUGGUGAGGUAACGGCUCACCAAGGCGACGAUGGGUAGGGGAACUGAGAGGUUGAACCCCCACACUGGUACUGAGACACGGACCAGACUCCUACGGGAGGCAGCAGUGAGGAAUAUUGGUCAAUGGGCGAGAGCCUGAACCAGCCAAGUAGCGUGCAGGAUGACGGCCCUAUGGGUUGUAAACUGCUUUUGUAUGGGGAUAAAGUUAGGGACGUGUCCCUAUUUGCAGGUACCAUACGAAUAAGGACCGGCUAAUUCCGUGCCAGCAGCCGCGGUAAUACGGAAGGUCCAGGCGUUAUCCGGAUUUAUUGGGUUUAAAGGGAGCGUAGGCUGGAGAUUAAGUGUGUUGUGAAAUGUAGACGCUCAACGUCUGAAUUGCAGCGCAUACUGGUUUCCUUGAGUACGCACAACGUUGGCGGAAUUCGUCGUGUAGCGGUGAAAUGCUUAGAUAUGACGAAGAACUCCGAUUGCGAAGGCAGCUGACGGGAGCGCAACUGACGCUUAAGCUCGAAGGUGCGGGUAUCGAACAGGAUUAGAUACCCUGGUAGUCCGCACGGUAAACGAUGAAUACUCGCAGUUCGGUUAUUAUGGUCGAGCUGUCCAGCGAAAGCGUUAAGUAUUCCACCUGGGGAGUACGCCGGCAACGGUGAAACUCAAAGGAAUUGACGGGGGCCCG